CCUACGUGAGGCUGCAGUGAGGAAUAUUGGGCAAUGGAGGAAACUCUGACCCAGCCAUGCCGCGUGCGUGAAGAAGGUUUUCGAAUUGUCAAGCUCUUUCGGAUGUGAAGAUGAUUACGGUAACCUCUAAAUACGCCACGACCACCUUCGUGCCAGCAGCCGCGGUAAUACGAAGGGGGCAAGCGUUGUUCGGAAUUACUGGGCGUAAAGGGUGUGUAGGCGGGAAAGUAAGAUAGUGGUGAAAUGCCUGAGCUCAACUUGGGAACUGCCAUUAUAACUAUUUUUCUAGAGUGACAGAGAGGAUAUUGGAAUACACAGUGUAGAGGUGAAAGUCGUAGAUAUUGGGUAGAACACCGGAGGCGAAGGCGAGUAUCUGGCUGUCAACUGACGCUGAGGCACGAAAGCAUGGGGAUCAAACAGGAUUAGAUACCCGAGUAGUC
rnacentral:rRNA from 1 species